CCAGCAAGAGACAGGUCACAGAGGAGGAGGCAGAGGGAAGAAGAUGGAGGAUUCCAUAAGGAAGGAACCAAGGUGCACGCAAAGACAUGGAGCUCUCCUGUCACCAGUUUCUCCUCGACUGCAGGAACAGGCCAGUGCUUAAUGACGUUUUCCAAUUUUUCUUCAACCAGAAGCUAAUGGUGAGAUCUCUGGAGUUAGUCAGAGUUGGACUUCAAUCCACAGCCUGGAUAGCCACGUGACUCCUACAAGUCAGUCUCUGAACAUCUGCUUCCU